CGCGGCCUAUCAGCUUGUUGGUGUGGUAACGGCGCACCAAGGCAACGAUGGGUAGCUGGUCUGAGAGGAUGGUCAGCCACAUUGGGACUGAGACACUGCCCAAACUCCUACGGGAGGCUGCAGUCGAGAAUAUUUCGCAAUGGGGGAAACCCUGACGAUGCGACGCCGCGUGGGGGAUGAAGGCCUUCGGGUCGUAAACCUCUGUGUUACGGGAUGAAUCGAGCGUUGCUGAUAACGCAGCGUUUUUGACGUUACCGUAGUAGAAAGCCCCAGCUAACUACGUGCCAGCAGCUGCGGUAAUACGUAGGGGGCAAGCGUUGUCCGGAAUCACUGGGCGUAAAGCGCGCGCAGGCGGUAGGGUAAGUCAGACGUGAAAGGGUUCGGCUCAACCGAGCCAUUGCGUUUGAUACUGCUUUACUUGAGUCUAGAAGAGGAAAGUGGAAUGUAUGGUGUAGCGGUGGAAUGCUUAGAUAUCAUAUAGAACACCCGUGGCGAAGGCGGCUUUCUGGUCUAAGACUGACGCUCAUGCACGAAAGUUUGGGGAGCAACCGGGAUUAGAUACCCCGCUAGUCCUUACUGUAAACGAUGGGUACUAAGUGUAGGGGGUGUUGAUUCCCUCUGUGCUGUAGCUAACGCAUUAAGUACCCCGCCUGGGGAGUACGG
rnacentral:rRNA from 1 species